rnacentral:rRNA from 1 species
GUCUAUGGCCAUGCCACCCUGAACAAGCCAGAUCCUGUCUGAUCUCAGAAGCUAAGCAAGGUCGGGCCUGGUUAGUACUUGGAUGGGAGACCACCUAGGAAGACCAGGUGCUGUAAGCA